GGGUCAAUGGUGAAAUCUUUGCAUUCUCUAGAGAGGUGAUGGCUUAAAAGUCAUGCUCAAUGGAGUUAUGUUGAGGACU
rnacentral:snoRNA from 1 species